rnacentral:rRNA from 1 species
UACGAAGGGUGCAAGCGUUACUCGGAAUUACUGGGCGUAAAGCGUGCGUAGGUGGUUCGUUAAGUCUGCCGUGAAAGCCCCGGGCUCAACCUGGGAAUGGCGGUGGAUACUGGCGGACUAGAGUGCGGUAGAGGCGUGUGGAAUUCCGGGUGUAGUGGUGAAAUGCGUAGAGAUCCGGAGGAACACCAGUGGCGAAGGCGACACGCUGGGCCAUACCUGACGCUAAAGCGCGACAGCAUGGGGAGCAAACGGG